GAUGCUGCAUGGCUGUUUGCUUAGAAGAUCCCUCACUUAGGGCAGGAUAUUUCAAGGCUCCAGCAGACCUACCCCGCGUACCCCAGUGAUCCUACUCCUGAGAGGGACCCAUCUGGCAGGCUCAGUCUUGUUCAAGGAGGCAGACAUACAGGGUCUGAGCUUUCUCAUUGCCUGGCCCCAUCUGUCACUGUCAUCAGGCCUUGUAUGUCUCACCCCCUGGCUAUGUGUAGCUCUGAGGAAGCAGACUUGCUUCGGCUGGAGGAGGUCUUCUCAACCACCCUUGCCCGCACCAACAGUCUCAUUCUCCAGCCCCUGCUCUCAGCUGACCCGGAACCGUCAGAUCCCCAUGGCAGAGAGUGCCUUCGGCUUCUGCAGCAGCUGCAUGAAAGUUCCCAACGGUUAUGGGAGGUGACAGAGCAGAGCCUGCAUUCGCUUCGGCAGAGGCUAUACCACCCGCCCUCCAAGGGUCUGGAGACCCUGCUGUUACUGAACAGUGCUGACCAUGUCCUGCAGGCCCACAUGGAGUACAUCGAGUCGUAUACUGACUGUGUGGUGAUGCAGGCCUUUCAGAAGGUCUCAAAGAGGAGGAGUGAGUACUGGAGGAGCCAGAGGAAGAAGCUGCAGCAGCUGCUGUCCUGGGCGAGCUCUGAGGGCUCAGUGGGCACCACACUGUGCCAAGCCCUCAGCCAGCCACUCACCCAGCAUGUGCAGAAAUAUAUCCUACUCCUACUGAGCCUCAGGGACACCCUUGACAAGUGCCAUCCAGCCCAGGAGCUGGUGAUGCGUGCGGUCACCCUGUUUGGGAACCUGCAGUCCUUCCUGAGGCAGGCCUUGGACCAAGCUGUGGCCACACAGGCCCUGUGGUACAGCCUCAACAGCCGCGCAAGGCAGGACGUGCUGUGUGCCCCUGCCCGCCGGCUCCUCCAGGACAGCCAGGACAUCCCUGUGGUGGUCGCCCCGCUGCGGGCUGAGCGCGUGCUACUCUUUGAUGACGUCCUUGUCCUGCUUCAGGGCCACAAUAUCCACACUUUUGACCUGAAGUUGGUGUGGGUAGAUCCUGGCCAAGACAAGUGUGUGCUUCGCAUCCUCACACCUGAAGAGGAGUUCUCCUUUUGCACCAGAAACCCCCAGGGCCAGGUUGUGUGGCAGUGGAAAGUGACCCAGGCUGUGUGCCAGGCCCUGCGUGGCAAGAAGGACUUCCCUGUGCUGGGGUCCGGCCCCGAGUCAUCCUUACCCCCUGACUGCCGCUGUGUGGCCUAUACUUUCCGCCAUGAGGGCCGUUUCUACCAGGCUACCUAUGAGGGUGAUUGGUGCCGGGCCAAGCUGCAUGGCAAUGGACCUCGCCUGUGUUCCAGGGGAACCCUGAAGUGGCCCGAUGGGCGUAACCAUGUGGGGGAUUUCUGCCAGGGCCUGGAGCAUGGCUUUGGCAUCUGCCUGGUGCCCCAAGCCUCUGAGGACAAGUUUGACUGUUACAAGUGCCACUGGCGGGAAGGCAGCAUGUGUGACUAUGGCAUCUGUGAGUAUGGCACUGAAGAAGUGUACAAGGGCUAUUUUCAGGCCGGCCUUCGGCAUGGAUUUGGUGUCCUUGACAGUACCCCACAGGCCUCCCAGCCCUUCAGGUACACAGGCCACUGGGAGAGAGGCCAGAGGAGUGGCUAUGGCAUUGAGGACAACAGUGAGAGGGGUGAGCGCUACAUUGGCAUGUGGCAGGCUGACCAGCGUCAUGGCCCUGGGGUCGUGGUCACCCAGGCAGGCGUCUGCUAUCAAGGAACAUUCCAAGGGGACAAGAUGGCUGGCCCAGGCAUCCUGCUAUGUGAGGAUGACACUCUGUACGAGGGCACUUUCACCAGGGACCUGACCCUCCUAGGGAAGGGCAAGGUCACCUUCCCCAGUGGUUUCACCUUGGAUGGUUCUUUCAGCAGUGGGACAGAUAAAGGACUGUUCACACAGGGAGUGCUGGACACAGCCGCCCUCCCGCCCAACCCAGCCAGUACUCGCAAGAGACAGCUGGGGCUGGGUGCCUUCCCUGUGGAGAGCCGCUGGCAGGGAGUCUACAGGCCUUUCCAGGACUUCGUGCGUUCAGGCUGUCCUGGGGAAAUGCAGGAAGCCCUCUUGGGCUUCCAUGUGCAGAGCUCCAGGGAGCUCCGAGAGUCCCAGGAGUACCUGAGCUGUGAGAGGAGCCACCCCAAGGACUGUGCGGGCAGCAUGGAAGAUACCCUGAAGGAGCUGCUGCCCCACCGCGAGCCCCAGGCCCUGCAGCAGUACCUCAGGAAGGCUCUGAGCAAUUCCCGACACCCCCUGGGGAGGUUACUCCGUACCCUGAUGCUGACCUUCCAGGCCACAUAUUCAGGCAUAGGAGCCAACAAACACCUACAGGGGAUGGCCCAGGAGGAGGUGAAGCAACAUGCCCAGGAGCUUUGGGUCGCCUACAGGGGUCUGUUGAAGGUUGCCUUACAGCGCCAGGGCCAGACCCUGGAGGAGGAGGACAUGGAGACAAGGAACCUGCGGGUGCACGGGUUGCUGCUGCCCCUCGUCUUGCCCAGCUUCUACUCGGAGCUCUUCACACUCUACCUGCUUCUUCAUGAGAGAGAGGAUGGGUUGUACAGCCAGGGCAUUGCCAACCUCAGCCUGUUCCCUGACACGAAGCUGCUGGAGUUCCUGGAUGUGCAGAAGCACCUGUGGCCCCUCAAGGACCUCUGGCUGACAAGCAAUCAGAGAUAUUCUCUGGUCCGGGACAAGUGUUUCCUGUCAGCCACUGAGUGUCUGCAGAAGAUCAUCACCACAGUGGACCCUCGGGAGAAGCUGGAAGUGCUGGAGAAGACCUAUGGGGAAAUCGAGACCACGGUGUCUCGGGUGCUGGGCCGGGAGUACAAACUACCCAUGGAUGACCUACUGCCCCUGCUUAUCUAUGUGGUGUCCCGAGCCCGAAUUCAGCAUCUGGGAGCUGAGAUCCACCUGAUCCGUGACAUGAUGGACCCCACCCAAACAGGUGGCCUCCAUGACUUCUUGCUCACUGCUUUGGAGGUGAGGGACCCGGGCUGUGAGCCCACGGACAUCACUCCCUGCCCCAGACACCAUGGUAGAAAGAGCUCAAAUCCCCAUCGUACUUGUCUUCAUGGAAAGGAUCCCUUGUGCUGUUCCCAGGGCAGAUGAGCCUCACAGCCCUUCCGGCUGUAGCUCUGAGCAGUGUGCAGACGGAAGGCCUCUGCAGAGUGUGGCUGACAGCUAGUCCUGACUGGAGCACGGUGUACACAGGGAGUCCUGUUAUGAGCACAUCCAGAAGGAAGACGUACGACUGCACCGCCUGCCUGGCCACUGGAACUCUAGAGAACUCUGGUGACGUGGCUACUCUGGACCAAGGGCAAAGCUGGGGCCACAUGGCCGCAGUGGACCUUUGUGGAGCAAGCCAGCACUGCCCAUCUGCCCCCCAUUGCCUGGGUCAAGGCAGGCUGUGGAGGUAGUCCUCAAAGGAGAUGGUGUUUUGCUUCCUUGAGGGACAUGCCCAGCUGCUGCAGUGUGAUCCCAUAGCUGAUAACUUGCCACUGGCCUCUGGUCUGGGCUCAGAUAACCUUUUGCCUGGAAGUUGCACCAUCUUGGGUGAGGAGCACUCGCUUCACUCUGCCUCAGGCCUUAGUCAGAAACCAGCACUCUCUGGGCUGCGUGCCCAUGUGAUGGUGGAAAUGAUUUCCAACAUUCUUCCAGUCCAGUUCACUUAGCUCUGCAGGCCUCCCCAAGAUCUGGCUUCAUUCAGUUCUUUGGACUGAAAUGGAAAUUCUCACUGUUCAUCCCAUUUCUAUUUCUCGGCUCCUGGCUAGAAGGUCCCAAACUGCAGAAGGCUCAGAUUGUUCCGUUCCUUUUCCCAUGAAUAUCUGCCUGGGGACCUGCUUCCUCCUCAGCUGAGCUUCAGGCCUGAGCUGGCCUCUCAGGAGGACCGGGUGGCAGGAAAACCUCAGCUCCACACCAAGCUGCCUGGUUGCCUCUGUCAGGCCCUGCCCUUUGCAAAGGCUUGGGAUGCAAACAUCAGCAGUCAUUCACCAGGCCUCGAUCACCAGCAGACUGCAAGUGGCCCAUAAAUGACAUACCUGAGACACUGUUUUGGGUUCUCUGGAAGAGACAGCAGUAAUAUUCGAGGCUUGCUAGUGCCCUAACAGAUGAACAUCUCUGGCUCAGGGCCAUAAACAAGUUUGGGCAUGGUGCUGGGCUCUGGGUCACUGUUUCUGGCUCAAGUUAUGCCUCCCACCAAUUCAGCCUGUGUGGGAAGGGCUAAGGUAUAGAUCCAAAGCCAGGGCUGAGACUCCUGGGAGCCUCAGGGAGGACCACCUUCAGAGCCUCUCAGAAAGUGUGGAGCACUGUGAAGAGAGCCUACUGUUCUCCUACCCUGCUGUCCCCAGAGCGAGCAAAGAGGCUUUCUCUGGCUGGAUCCACCAAAUGUUUCAGCGUGAACAUAGGGCCUGGGGCUUGAGUUCUGCCAGGAACUUGGUCCCCAGGAAAGUCUUUGGAAGCGUCAAAGUGAUGGAGGCCUCUCUCUCAAUGACAGUCCUAAGUGCCUAUGACACAGAUCAGCUGUGAGAAAACCCUGCCACCUACUCCCCUGUUCCCAAUACUAACUGAACUUGGGCCUCUGGUCCUUGUGGGUCCACAGGGUUUCCAUAAUGUCCUGGUAGGUUCCAGGAGCAGCCAGGGCUGUAACAAACCCUUGGGACAAAAUUGACAUGUGAGGGGAUGCAGGAAGAUUGACAACACAAGGGGGUGCCAGUCAGCCACCCACAUUCGGUGCUUCUGGAGACUGGAGGGGCCAUCUCAGUGAUGGCCUCUUUAGAGGUGUUAACUGUCCAGCCUAGAACACCUUUUGACUUGUGAGUCGUGCAAGAGGGCAGUCUUAGGAGUUCACGGUUGCUAUCAUCAGUACCCUUACUGCCAUAAGAGAAUCUGCAGGCCAGAUGUAAAACUCCCUCAGUCCACCUCACUUCACGUCUUCCUAGAAAGGAGGCCUGGAGUCCGGAGGGAAGAAUGUGAGAGAUGACACAGGAUGUGAUUAAAGUCUCUGACAUCUAAGAGACUUUAUUUCCCUUCUUCAUUUCCCCUGGUGCCUCAUAAUGGUUUGUUUUUGUUUUUUGCUGGCUACUUCUCUGGGGCCUGGCCACAGUUACAGUCUACUUAUUUAUUGCGCAUUUUUAAUAAAUCCGUUUCAUCUUUA